rnacentral:lncRNA from 1 species
GGGGGAACCUUCUGUACAUUGUAAAGAAAUUAUCAUUUGUACAUAAAACACAAUUCUCCAUUAAUUGUGAAAUUAAUAAUGAAAAUGAUUCUCUUGAGUUAACAGAUAUAUCCAAGUAAUAACUAUUCUGUAUGGCAACAAUCCAGCCAAGGAUAGGACCAAGGAGGGACAUAUCAUAUAAAAGUUAUAUUCUUAGUACUG